UGAUCGGCUGGCAUUCGAACUCAGGACUCUUUUAUGCUAGACGAGCGCUUUACCAACUUAGCCAUCGAACC
rnacentral:tRNA from 1 species